GUAAUACAGAAGUUUCCAAUAAAAUCUGAAGAACAAUUAAUUGAAAUUGACAAGGAAAUAAAUGCUGAAAAUAGAAAUCAAUAUAUAAAAGCAAUGAGAUCAAUGCUAGAACCAGCCGGGGUUCACAAAAACUUAAAAUGCAUCCUAAACGACAAUGUUACCAUGGCCUACAAUGUCGACGGUGUUCAAGGGAAGAAAAGUUUUAAACAACUUAAAAACUUUUAUGGUGUUCUGUUAGAAGCGGUCUCAAUGGCCAAAACAAAUAAUAUUGGUCCAGCGGAUGACCAAAUUCGGAAGGCAAUUCAAUUGCAGAAAAGGAGAAUUUUUAAAAAUAUGUCGGUGCAAAGACAUGCUGAUCAAAAAUAAGCCAGACAAAUAAAUUUCAGACGUUUAUUUUCAUUAUUUGAAGUAUUUUUGUUUUUGUUUUAAAUAAAUAAUUUUGUAUUUUUUGAAUUAAA